UGGGGUGACUGCGUACCUUUUGUAUAAUGGGUCAGCGACUUAUAUUCUGUAGCAAGGUUAACCGUAUAGGGGAGCCGGAGGGAAACCGAGUCUUAAUUGGGCGUUAAGUUGCAGGGUAUAGACCCGAAACCCGGUGAUCUAGCCAUGGGCAGGUUGAAGGUUGGGUAACACUAACUGGAGGACCGAACCGACUAAUGUUGAAAAAUUAGCGGAUGACCUGUGGCUGGGGGUGAAAGGCCAAUCAAACCGGGAGAUAGCUGGUUCUCCCCGAAAGCUAUUUAGGUAGCGCCUCGUGAAUUCAUCUCCGGGGGUAGAGCACUGUUUCGGCUAGGGGGCCAUCCCGGCUUACCAACCCGAUGCAAACUGCGAAUACCGGAGAAUGUUAUCACGGGAGACACACGGCGGGUGCUAACGUCCGUCGUGAAGAGGGAAACAACCCAGACCGCCAGCUAAGGUCCCAAAGUCAUGGUUAAGUGGGAAACGAUGUGGGAAGGCCCAGACAGCCAGGAUGUUGGCUUAGAAGCAGCCAUCAUUUAAAGAAAGCGUAAUAGCUCACUGGUCGAGUCGGCCUGCGCGGAAGAUGUAACGGGGCUAAACCAUGCACCGAAGCUGCGGCAGCGACGCUGAUGCGUUGUUGGGUAGGGGAGCGUUCUGUAAGCCUGUGAAGGUGGCCUGUGAGGGUUGCUGGAGGUAUCAGAAGUGCGAAUGCUGACAUAAGUAACGAUAAAGCGGGUGAAAAGCCCGCUCGCCGGAAGACCAAGGGUUCCUGUCCAACGUUAAUCGGGGCAGGGUGAGUCGACCCCUAAGGCGAGGCCGAAAGGCGUAGUCGAUGGGAAACGGGUUAAUAUUCCCGUACUUGGUGUUACUGCGAAGGGGGGACGGAGAAGGCUAUGUUGGCCGGGCGACGGUUGUCCCGGUUUAAGCGUGUAGGUGUGUGUUCCAGGUAAAUCCGGUUCACUUUAACACUGAGGCGUGACGACGAGGCACUACGGUGCUGAAGCAACAAAUGCCCUGCUUCCAGGAAAAGCCUCUAAGCAUCAGGUAACAUCAAAUCGUACCCCAAACCGACACAGGUGGUCAGGUAGAGAAUACCAAGGCGCUUGAGAGAACUCGGGUGAAGGAACUAGGCAAAAUGGUGCCGUAACUUCGGGAGAAGGCACGCUGACAUGUAGGUGAAGUGAUUUACUCAUGGAGCUGAAGUCAGUCGAAGAUACCAGCUGGCUGCAACUGUUUAUUAAAAACACAGCACUGUGCAAACACGAAAGUGGACGUAUACGGUGUGACGCCUGCCCGGUGCCGGAAGGUUAAUUGAUGGGGUCAGCGCAAGCGAAGCUCCUGAUCGAAGCCCCGGUAAACGGCGGCCGUAACUAUAACGGUCCUAAGGUAGCGAAAUUCCUUGUCGGGUAAGUUCCGACCUGCACGAAUGGCGUAAUGAUGGCCAGGCUGUCUCCACCCGAGACUCAGUGAAAUUGAACUCGCUGUGAAGAUGCAGUGUACCCGCGGCAAGACGGAAAGACCCCGUGAACCUUUACUAUAGCUUGACACUGAACAUUGAGCCUUGAUGUGUAGGAUAGGUGGGAGGCUUUGAAGCGUGGACGCCAGUCUGCAUGGAGCCGACCUUGAAAUACCACCCUUUAAUGUUUGAUGUUCUAACGUGGACCCGU
rnacentral:rRNA from 1 species